rnacentral:rRNA from 1 species
UACGAAGGGUGCAAGCGUUACUCGGAAUUACUGGGCGUAAAGCGUGCGUAGGUGGUUCGUUAAGUCUGAUGUGAAAGCCCUGGGCUCAACCUGGGAAUGGCAUUGGAAACUGGCGACCUAAAGUGCGGUAGAGGGUAGUGGAAUUCCCGGUGUAGCGGUGAAAUGCGCAGAUAUCAGGAAGAACACCAAUGGCGAAAGCAGCUUUCUGGGACGGUACUGACGCUGAGACGCGAAAGCGUGGGGAGCGAACAGG